rnacentral:rRNA from 1 species
UACGUAGGGUGCAAGCGUUGUCCGGAAUUAUUGGGCGUAAAGAGCUCGUAGGCGGUUUGUCACGUCGGCUGUGAAAACCCGAGGCUCAACCUCGGGCCUGCAGUCGAUACGGGCAGACUAGAGUAUGGCAGGGGAGACUGGAAUUCCUGGUGUAGCGGUGGAAUGCGCAGAUAUCAGGAGGAACACCGAUGGCGAAGGCAGGUCUCUGGGCCACUACUGACGCUGAGAAGCGAAAGCAUGGGGAGCGAACAGG